CCGUCAUCUCCCCUUCGGUUCCCUGUGUUGCAUACCUUCGCGACGGUAUCCUGUCGGCUAGAAUCGCCCCGUUCCGCCCGACGUCGCGAGCAACAUCGCGACCGAGGGCGAACCGAAAAGCACUCAUCGCGUUCCACCCCGUUCGCGUGACGCGCUGCGGGACACGGCCCGCGAUGACGUGCUCGAAUUCUCGGAUGCGGAACACGA
rnacentral:misc_RNA from 1 species